GCAGCUGCUUCCCUAUUGGCUGCCCCCGGCCGCAUGUGCCAGCCCCUCACCAUCUGAAUGAGAGUGGGGACGGGAGAAGCAAGUGUAGGCUGCAAGUCCGGAAGGCAGGAGCCGACGGUAGCCCCAGCGAUAGACAGAAUCUUCCUUCUGGCAAGAGAAAGACCUCAGUACUACUCACCAGGGAGAAAUCAUGGACCUGAACUCAAAGGAACAGCCCACCUCCCCACAAAAGCAGGGUGUCAAAGCUCGGUCCAAAUCCACAGAGGAGAUCCAACCUGCCAAGAAGGCCUUCCACACUCCCCAGAAGUCCUUACCAAACCAGAUGGAUGCAGAUGAGUCCAAGGGUUCCUGUCCUGUGCCAGCACCCAAUACUGCUCAGCAGCAGCAGCAGACCUGAGGAACAGGUCAUGGUUGUGAGAAGUGAAGUUGUGACUGUUCCUUGUGCUCCUCCUUGGCCCUGGUGUGUUACGUGGGCUUCAUGCCCUUGUGGAUGUCACCGUGGUGCUGUCUGUCCAGCUAUUUCUGUCUGACUGUCUGUCCCCCUUUGUGAUAUGAAAUCUGGGUAAAUAAAGCUAGUUGGAAUCUG